UACUAUUAAAGAAGGAUCGAACGUCGUGAUGGUUCAACCUCGAUCGAUGGUUCGACCUCGCCUUCGCUACCUCCACCUUGUUCGACAAAAAUCGCAGGAAAUAGAACCCCACGUUCCAUGGUAGCGAAAAAAUCGAGAUAACCCACACGUUCUCCACCUUCUCCCCAACCUGUCCAUCUUAUCUCCAGAUCUCUUUGGCACGAACCCGAACGACCCGGCUCUCUCCUCUCCUCGCGACCGCGCGGCGCCCUCCCUCUCUAGGUUGGCCAUAGCCCGAGCCCCCGGGCGACGACCGUCCGAGCCACUCUACCGUCAUGGAUUGAAGGAGGCAGCGGCGGGGGGCGGUGCGGAUCCCAUCUUACCCUCCACCGUCACGUAUGGAAGGAAGCCAUGGCAACCAGCUGUCCGAAUCCAAUCCUCCGCCUGGCAGUUAUGUGCGGCUCCCUUCGCCGGAGCUUCUCUGCACAUGUACAUUGUCUCGUCGGUCUUUUCAUCCCUUCCGUCGGCACGCACCGGCGCUGCUGACCCGUGGUUGACCAGCAGCGGAGGCGUGUGUCAGGAGUCUCCAGCCGCUGCAUGCUACAUUAUCAGGUUUGAUCUUCUGUUAAAUCUUGAUCCCUUCAGUUUCCGUUUGGAAUAUUCCAUUCUUGUUAGUGAUCAUCAGGGAUGCCAUCAGCCCUCAUAUCUGGACAGAUAUAUGGGAUUUUUCAUCUGUGUGUAGUUCAAUUGGCAUAUUAUUAGCCAUCUGAUAAAAUUGCCUAAAGGUGACCGCCGAAUACCAUCCCCUCACCGAUGAGGCCUAGAAGAUGGUUAAACUCUCACAAGGUGAACACCAUGGGGUAAAGCUAGCUUAUAAUUUAGCGGCGGCGUGGUGUCAUCAUGGUCGGAGGAGGCAACUCAUAUGGGGAUGCCAAGGUGAUCAAUCAGAAUUCUAUCGCUGCUGUUGCACCAAAUAUCUUUACAGCUGCUAUUUUUUUAAAUAUCACAAAUACAGAUUAUUUUGUCAAUGCAACAAAAUGAUCAAUCUCAAUCUGGGACAAUGCAUUACUCAUGGUAUCUCUACUAUUAAAGAGGGAUCGAACGUCGUGAUGGUUCAACCUCGAUCGAUGGUUCGACCUCGCCUUCGCUACCUCCACCUUGUUCGACAAAAAUCGCAGGAAAUAGAACCCCACGUUCCAUGGUAGCGAAAAAAUCGAGGUAACCCACACGUUCUCCACCUUCUCCCCGACCUGUCCAUCUCAUCUCCAGAUCUCUUUGGCACGAACCCGAACGACCCGGCUCUCUCCUCUCCUCGCGACCGCGCGGCGCCCUCCCUCUCUAGGUUGGCCAUAGCCCGAGCCCCCGGGCGACGACCGUCCGAGCCACUCUACCGUAAUGGAUUGAAGGAGGCAGUGGCGGGGGGCGGUGCGGAUCCCAUCUUACCCUUCACCGUCACGUAUGGAAGGAAGCCAUGGCAACCAGCUGUCCGAAUCCAAUCCUCCGCCUGGCAAUUAUGUGCGGCUCCCUUCGCCGGAGCUUCUCUGCACAUGUACAUUGUCUCGUCGGUCUCUUCAUCCCUUCCGUUGGCACGCACCGGCGCUGCUGACCCGUGGUUGACCAGCAGCGGAGGCGUGUGUCAGGAGUCUCCAGCCGCUGCAUGCUACAUUAUCAGGUUUGAUCUUCUGUUAAAUCUUGAUCCCUUCAGUUUCCGUUUGGAAUAUUCCAUUCUUGUUAGUGAUCAUCAGGGAUGCCAUCAGCCCUCAUAUCUGGACAGAUAUAUGGGAUUUUUCAUCUGUGUGUGGUUCAAUUGGCAUAUUAUUAGCCAUCUGAUAAAAUUGCCUAAAGGUGACCGCCGAAUACCAUCCCCUCACCGAUGAGGCCUAGAAGAUGGUUAAACUCUCACAAGGUGAACACCAUGGGGUAAAGCUAGCUUAUAAUUUAGCGGCGGCGUGGUGUCAUCAUGGUCGGAGGAGGCAACUCAUAUGGGGAUGCCAAGGUGAUCAAUCAGAAUUCUAUCGCUGUUGUUGCACCAAAUAUCUUUACAGCUGCUAUUUUUUUAAAUAUCCCAAAUACAGAUUAUUUUGUCAAUGCAACAAAAUGAUCAAUCUCAAUCUGGGACAAUGCAUUACUCAUGGUAUACUUAAUAAUUAAGUGGAGUUCCAAAAGCGACGGUGAUGGUUGUGCCACCACCAACAGCAGAGAAGAAAGAGGCGUGGCAGUGGUGGUGCAAAAAGAGCGAUAGAGAAGUGGGAGGAAACUAAGUAGCGGCAUUGGUGUAAGGACUAAGGAAGAAGGGGAGAGCAUGGAGAGCAAGAUGAGGUUCUGGGGAAAUGCGACAGGGUAGUCGCUCCCUAAGCCUAUCGGCAUGACCCAAUUCACUCCAAUUUUUUUCCAGGUUCAGUUUUGUUAGCAUUGGUAUUCACAUUCUACUAUUCAGAGAAAAAUAUAUUCAUUAUUACAGGAUGGAAGUUAUCUGUACUUUUGUUUUGUACAUUUUUACAGCUAUACCUUUUUUUAAUGCCAUUAUGGCUUUUUUACAGCUAUGCCUUACUGGAAGUGAGCCAGGCCCUUGAAAAAAACUCACGGUAGUCACUUCGUUCAGUAACAUUUUUGCAUGUAUAGCAUGUAGGUUUCAUUCACAUCUAGCAAAAGACUCUCCAGACAACGGAGGUUUGCUUUGUAGACUUUAUUUUCUAAUACAGUCAAACUUCAACAUAUAUUUACUUUUUUUGUUAAUCAAUACACACAUUCAAUUGAACAUACUACCCGCAGAAAAGUAGUCAGUCAAACAUGCUUGCAUUUACUUAGAUGGUAUAUAGGUCCGAAUUAAUGAUUGUAGGUGUUGACAUACUAUGUACAAUGUAAGAGAACGACAUGGAUGAUAUAUUAUUAGAGGAAAAAAUGAAAGAAUUAGGGUGGAUGUUAAUUUGCUGGAAGUGAGUACUCCACUACAAUGCUUCUAAUAGCUUUAUAGUUCUAUAUAUGAUGCAAACGUAUGUGUUCAGGAGCCGUUUUUGCUACGGAACUCUGAAGCAGGUGGUUGAAGUAAACACUGGACGGAGAAAGACUUUGCAUAUUCUAGCAGCAGACUCAAAGCUGCUGGUGCGAAAACAGAAUUUGCACCGUACAACAGGCAAAGCCUCACUAUAGAGUUCCGCCUAGGGAUACGCUUUUUGCUAAGUUUUAUGAUGCAAACCUAUGUGUUCGGGAGCCUUUUUUUCUACGGAAAUCUGAAGCAUGUGGUUGAAGUAAAUACUGUACGGAAAGAGUUUGCAUAUUCAGCAGCAGUGCAGGCUGCUGGUACGACAACAGAAUCUGUCCAAGCUGAAGUGAAACACAUACGGCAAACUGUCAAUCUUGUAUCGAAUGAGAGCCAAAAAUUGAUGGUAACUGCCUUCAUCUUAUCAGGACCAGAUAGGAAGAUCUCCUGAGUACACGGUCGAGAGGAAGCUCGGCAAAGGGGGGCUCGACCAUGUUUUCGCCAGCCGGCAUUUAGCUGGUGCAACAGGAUAGUCCACAUGUGCGAGUGCUCAACAGAUGGGUGCUAUUUUUACAUGUUCCCUGCUUUCUUACUAUACCCUUUGCCAAAAAAAAAAACUUUGGCGACGGGUUUUGUACUCACUGAUGUGAAGCAAGAGGAAAGCUAAUUGCACAUUUGGUCA